rnacentral:rRNA from 1 species
AUUGAACGCUGGCGGCAUGCCUUACACAUGCAAGUCGAACGGCAGCACGGGAACAAUCCUGGUGGCGAGUGGCGAACGGGUGAGUAAUAUAUCGGAACGUGCCCAGUCGUGGGGGAUAACGCAGCGAAAGCUGUGCUAAUACCGCAUACGAUCUAAGGAUGAAAGCGGGGGAUCGCAAGACCUCGCGCGAUUGGAGCGGCCGAUAUCAGAUUAGCUAGUUGGUGGGGUAAAGGCCCACCAAGGCGACGAUCUGUAGCUGGUCUGAGAGGACGACCAGCCACACUGGAACUGAGACACGGUCCAGACUCCUACGGGAGGCAGCAGUGGGGAAUUUUGGACAAUGGGCGCGAGCCUGAUCCAGCAAUGCCGCGUGCAGGAUGAAGGCCUUCGGGUUGUAAACUGCUUUUGUACGGAACGAAACGGCCCUUUCUAAUACAGGGGGCUAAUGGCGGUACCGUAAGAAUAAGCACCGGCUAACUACGUGCCAGCAGCCGCGGUAAUAC